AUAUUUCGGAACUGAGCCUAGUUCCUUCGAUACCAAUGUGUUCUUGUGAUGAUGAUCACACAUUGGUAUCGAAGGAACAAGACUCAGUUCCGAAAUAU